CAAAAAUAUAAAAAUUUCAAAAAAUUUUAACCAACCGUUUUAUCAGAAAAAUUACACUGGUUUUAUAGCAGUUUGACAAACACUUAUUUUGAUCAUUGAAAAGCUUAAUAUUCCCUUAACAACACAACUUAAUUAAAACGUUUAGAUGAUUGUACAGAGUUAUCUCCCUGUAGUGUUAGGUACCACCUUAAACAGGUUUAGAAAGCAUCAGUUUUAAAAUGAAAAUUACCUAGACAAAAUUGAUUGUUAUUUACACUUGAAAUUUAUUUUUGACAAAAC
rnacentral:lncRNA from 1 species